ACAGACAUCAAUAUUAUUCUUUGGGCAAUGAACCCAUACAUUGACAGGGGCCGGGAAGCUGCUAUAUACAAGGAAGAGCAAGGUGCGGCCUUCACCAGAGGUAGCUGAUGAAACGUAGACUGGGUGACUGAGCCCGAAUGUCUCAUGGAUUACUUCACACUUUGAAAGGGAAGGUGCAUUCCCAUCAUCUCCAGUUGCUGAUACACAGGGUCUCUGAGGAUCUUUGGCUGUGUUUGGAGACAUUUUUGUGUAUCACAAACCAAAAUGUGCAGUGAGUGGGGAGAAGCCCGGAAUGCUACCAGACAACGUUCAUUGCACAGGACAGUCACCAUGGCCCUCAUGACAGUUCCUCAGAUCCUGAAACCCCAAGAGUGUCAAGAAGCCAGCAGUCAUAUCUCAGCUCUCUGGACUUUUGUUCCAUAAGUGAAGGAAUGGAAUGAAGUAAAAAAGAAAUACCACAUGACCUGGUUGCCAGCGCACUAAGGUAGGAAGGAGGUCUUUAGGUACAAAUCGGGGAAUUC